CAGCUCUCUGCAAGCCGUGGGAGGGCUGCGCGACUUCACGCAGCUCUUCCAGGGCUAGCAGAGAGCUUGCCUGCACCCAGAAGCUUGGGGCGCGCUGAGCUCAGCACGCCCCAAACUUUGGGCUUCGCGCAGCUCUCCCACGGCUAGCGGAUAGCAGCCUGUUCUGGGGGCUGGGGUCAGGGGAAGCUCGGGCUUCCCCCGCCCCAGCCCCGCACCUGGGGGGGGGGAAAUAAUUGUUUUUCUUUAUUUCCCCCCCAAAAAACUAGGUGCAUCCUAUGGGCCGGUGCGCCCUAUGGGGCGAAAAAUUCGGUAACUAAUUCAGUUUCUGAAACAAUGCAUGAAUCACAGCACAGCUAGCCUUCAAAAUUUGCCCUUCCCCGAACUUUGUGAUACAGUCUUCUGACUAAAAAAUGUGUGGAUUAUAGGAAAGCAUGUAUCAAAUGCAUAUACUAAUGAAAUAAUAUGUAAAAUAUAUGGGGAAACUGCUUGCAAAAAUAUAUAGUAGGGGAAAUUUGGAUUAAAAUGCUGAUGAAUUUCCAUGAGGACUGUCUUUUAAAAAAUUACUGCAAAGUGAUGUGGAAUUGUGGCAAAUUUAACAACUUGAAUUGUAUUGUUUUUGUGUACAAUUGUUGUAAACAACUCUAUUUUUUAUAAAUAGCAGUAUCAAAUUAUUUUUAUAAGUAAAAAAGAAGAAACUGAAGAGAAAUCAAAAUUGACAGAUUUGUCAACCCCUAGAGACAACCUUACACAAAACGGAAGCAUUCAGCAGUGUGAAAAAGAGAAAUACAUCUCAAAAUGCUAAAAUAAGGUAAUUAAAAACUGAUUUGAAAAAACAACAAACAAACUUGGAAAAGCACCCCCUCCCCAUUGUUUCCAGUUUUAUUAAACUCUAGCCCACAGAAGUUUAUGUUGUUAUGUGUUAGUCUUUAAGAUGCCACACACUGUUUCUGUUGCAACAGAAUAUUGCAACAGGGAUAUUGCCAUGGGACUAUGCUACAGGGUUGUAGAGAAAUAUAUUUCAAAGAUGAUAGAAAGGAUGCUUUUUUUUUUUAUUGGCCCCAUGUGUUUUGGCUCAAAUACCUUCCUUUCUUCCUUCUUUCCUUUUUUUAAAGGUUACAUUUAAAGCAAAAGGUUGGUUACUUUAAAAUGUUCAUUUAUUUAGAAGAAUUAUCCAGUGGUUUUAUGGUGGAAUCUAGAUUUACGGUAGUUGUGUUCUCGUGACCAUUACCAGAAGAGUGUCACUUCUUAAAGAGUGAGGAUGGCAUCAGAGCUUGGGUGGUAGAGUACGGUGGGGUGGGUGAGCUGGUACCUUGGUAGCAGGAGGGCAUUCUUUGGAACUGGGUGGGUUGUGGAUGAGUUGCCAUCAUGCAGGGAUGUCACUGCAUGUUUGUCAUGUACUGGCUAGAUGCAGAGGAGUGGUGGGAGGCCAUUUGGAAGAGUUCCUGUGAUCACUGGGUCUGAGCUGUUUUGGUUUCUUUGAAUAAAGUUGCACCUUUUCAUUUCAUGGUGUCACAUAGCUGUGUAAUAUGCACUGAAUCCGACUGUCAAU